UGGCUGGUCGUUGUCGCCGCAACUGCUGGCUGGCUGGCUGGCUGGCUGGCUGGCUGACUGGCUAGGCGGUGGGUUGGCGGGACGGCUGGGUGGUUUGCUUGCUGGCUGGGCUGGCUGGUGCGAUGCUGCACUACUACUGCUUGCGUGCAGUGAGCGUGUGUUGGCAGGGAUUGUGUUGCCGUGGCCAUGAAGAAGCACUGUCGUGUCAAGCUGGCAAGGCGAUGGUGUCACCUUUGAGCCAUGUCUGUGGUGUAACAGCUACAGGUGUGGACGGGUGUUGGGCAGCGCUCUGCACACGUUGUGGAGUCUGUCGGCUCGUCUGCAUGCCUUUGGAUGCCCUUAAAAAGGUGUCUGCGGGCGGAUGGCACGUUUACUUUGAACAAAUUUGAGUGCUCAAAUCAGGCCGAUGUUGCCUGAAAAGUUUUGCAUGGAAUAAUGGAAUAGGACUUCGGUUCUAUUUCGUUGGUUUUCGGAUCCGAAGUAAUGAUCAAAAGAGACAGGCGGGGACGUUUGUAUGGCUGCGCUAGAGGUGAAAUUCAUGGACCGUAGCCAGACAGACUAAAGCGAAAGCAUUCGUCAAGCAUGUUUUCAUUGGCCAUGAGCGAAAGUCAGAGGCUCGAAGACGAUCAGAUACCGUCCUAGUUCUGACCAUAAACGAUGCCAACUGACGAUCCGUGGUGGUAGUAGUGUUACCUUCCCCACGGGCAGUCCCCGGGAAACCUUUAAGUGUUUGGGUUCCGGGGGAAGUAUGGUUGCAAAGCUGAAACUUAAAGGAAUUGACGGAAGGGCACCACCAGGAGUGGAGCCUGCGGCUUAAUUUGACUCAACACGGGAAAACUCACCCGGGCCGGACACUGUGAGGAUUGACAGAUUGAGAGCUCUUUCUUGAUUUGGUGGUUGGUGGUGCAUGGCCGUUCUUAGUUGGUGGAGCGAUUUGUCUGGUUAAUUCCGAUAACGAACGAGACUCCAACCUGCUAAUUAGUGCGUUUGUCCACUGCGCCUGCGUAGGUGACGCUGGAUGACACCACCUGUCACGAGGACGUGGCAGCGGCUCUUCUCUCCCCUUCUCCGCUCGAAUGCCCUCCAGCGCCUCCUCCUCCUCCUCCUCCUCUCCUCCCCCUUCUUCAGCGCCUCAUCUGGCCGGCUGGCUGGCUGGCCGGGUGAGGCGGUGGUGGCGGUGGCGGUGGUGAGGGCGAUGGGGUGGGGAUGGUGCGGGUGGGCGAGUGGAUUGUGGUGGAGGCGUGGGGUUGGGUGCGGCGCUCGUGGCCGGUUAGUCUGGCGUUGGCCUCCGGGUGUGGCGCGAAUGCCUACUUCUUAGAGGGACAAGCGGGAGAAGCCGCACGAAAUAGAGCAAUAACAGGUCUGUGAUGCCCUUAGAUGUCCGGGGCCGCACGCGCGCUACAAUGACGGUGUCAGCGAGUCAGGCCUUCUGGCCCGAAAGGGUUGGGCAAACUGGUCAAUCACCGUCGUGACAGGGAUCGGGGCUUGGAAUUGUUCCCCGUGAACGAGGAAUUCCUAGUAAGUGCAAGUCAUAAGCUUGCGCUGAUUACGUCCCUGCCCUUUGUACACACCGCCCGUCGCUACUACCGAUUGAAUGGUUUAGUAAGGUCCUCGGAUUGGCGUCAUUGCGACGGUGGCCGAGAGGUCACAGCCCGAGGGGCGCUGAGAAGACGACCGAACUUGAUCAUUUAGAGGAAGUAAAAGUCGUAACAAGGUUUCCGUAGGUGAACCUGCGGAAG
rnacentral:rRNA from 1 species